AAACAUCGCUUCUUGUGUAUUUAUUUGAGGUACAGCCUGCCCACUGAUUUUUGAAGGGCCGCGGUAUCUUGACCGUGCAAAGGUAGCAUAAUCAUUAGUUCUUUAAUUGUGGACUUGUAUGAAUGGUUUGACGAGGUAUUAACUGUCUUUAUUUGGAUUUAUUAAUUGAAUUUGGGGUUUGGGUAAAAAUACCUAAAUUUUUUUAUGGGACGAGAAGACCCUAUAGAGUUUUAUAUAGUUUUUCCUUUUUCUGUUUGUUAAUUUAUUAUUUGGUUUUAUCUAUAUUUUGUUGGGGCGAUGGGAGGAUAAUUUUAACUCUUCCUUGUUUAUUAUACACUUUUUGUGUUGUUUAUGAUCCUUUAUUAUUGAUUAUAAGAUUAAAUUACCUUAGGGAUAACAGCGUAAA
rnacentral:rRNA from 1 species